rnacentral:tRNA from 1 species
UGGAGUGUAGCUCAGUGGCAGAGUGCCUGCUCAUCACUGCCAAGGUCCUGGGUUCAAUCCCCAGCAAUGCAA